AACGAACGCUGGCGGCAGGCCUAACACAUGUAAGUCGAGCGCUUCCCUUCGGGGAGGAGCGGCGGACGGGUUAGUAACGCGUGGGAACAUACCCUUUUCUAUGGAAUAGCCUCGGGAAACUGAGAGUAAUACCAUAUACGCCCUUUUGGGGAAAGAUUUAUCGGUGAAGGAUUGGCCCGCGUAAGAUUAGAUAGUUGGUGGGGUAAUGGCCUACCAAGUCUACGAUCUUUAGCUGGUUUGAGAGGAUGAUCAGCAACACUGGGACUGAGACACGGCCCAG
rnacentral:rRNA from 1 species